ACGAGGAGCCCAGCGCCAGGCCCUCGGCCUCCUGCUUCAGCGGCACCGUCAGCUCCAUGGGGCCUCCUGGACGGCAGCGCCUGCCCCGCGUGGCCCAGGGUGCAAAGAGGUCUCUGUGAGGGGCGGCGCUCACUCGGGCGGUGAGGAAAGGGUGUCUGUCUCGUGGGAUCCCACGGAGUCAAGUGCCGGCUCUGCCCCUCGUUGGGCCCCUUCCGCGGCUUCUGUACCUCAGUCCUGCAGCUCCUCCCGCAGCCUGUCCUACAGCACAAAGGCUCUGGAGCAAAUUCCAGCUCUGCCUCCCACCAGCUCUGUGUCCUUGGACAAGAGGGAAUGCAGUAUGGCAGCAUUUUCUUUGGAACAAAUUAAGAAGAUAGUAACAAAUAACAGAAGAAAUACUUCUACACAUAUAUUUUCCAUGGGCAAUAAACAGAUAAGUAUAUAAUUAUGAAA
ensembl:lncRNA novel transcript, antisense to FAM63B